UCCAGAGGUCUCAACCGUUGUUCGGAUUCAUUGGGCGUAAAGGGUGCGUAGGCGGUCGCGCGAGUCGGAUGUGAAAUCUCAGGGCUCAACCCUGAAACUGCAUUCGAUACUGCGUGGCUAGAGUGCUGGAGGGGAGACUGGAAUUUACGGUGUAGCAGUGAAAUGCGUAGAUAUCGUAAGGAAGACCAGUGGCGAAGGCGAGUCUCUGGACAGCAACUGACGCUGAGGCACGAAGGCCAGGGGAGCAAACGGG
rnacentral:rRNA from 1 species